rnacentral:rRNA from 1 species
AUGUUCUCUGGUAGAUGGGAGAGUAUGUGCAAGGUGGUGGAGAUGGAACUCUCCCUUAUGUAUGACAUCCUCUACACCAAGGCAGCCGUAGUCCACACCUGGCAUGGCUACGCCAUCCGUCUGGCCUCGCCAUUCCUUACCGCCAUCGCGCUCCUGCUGUUUGGCCUCCAGUGCAAAGAGGGCUUGAAGAACUCCUUGAAGACGGAAGAUACAGUUAUCAGUUAUGUAUUGUUGGUGACGACCUUCCUCCUUGAUGUGAGAUGCUUGCUCAGUGCAGUAACGUCAGCCUGGACACAUUCAUACUUCAAACAUAUGCAAAACAAUUGGUUGAAGCAUGAAUUUUGGUGCCUGGAGAGAUGGGAGAAUCUCCGCCGGUUUGUCGUGCCUCUGGGUCUUUCCCGGCUCUCCAUGUGGUUGGGGACAUGUGAAUGUGCAAAGGAACCGAAAAGCUACAGGAGGUGGCAGGGCAAGUUCCAGGGGCGCAACAUGUUGUCUGAGUGCACUCGUGGCUGGGACACCCUAUACAGCAGAUUUGGACUGCUGAAGAAGAUUGGAUGGGAAGAUCAGCCGAGCGGCCUUAGGAGUCCAGACUAUGUCAGGGAGCUGAAGUUAAAACACGUAUGCACACAGUUUUUUGCUCCUGCAGUGCAGUUUGUCGACAAUAUGGAAGAUGAUCCUCCUGGGCUGCCUGACCCCAGUCAGAAGGACCCUGUCGGUAUGAGACUCACUCCUGUUGAUCUGGAACAAAAUGUGCAAGCUGCACAGUCAAUGCCCAUUCACUCCGAGCAAGUUGAUCACUGGAGCCUUGGUCACGCCAAUUUCAUGUACGGUCAAGCCCUGCCUGAACUGUAUGAGCAACAGACUGAUCACCGGAGGUAUGAUCGAGCCCUUCCUGAAGCUUAUGAGCGAGUUUAUCUACGGAGGCAUGCCCACACCGGUUCCAACUAUGAUGGGGCACGGCCUGACAUGGACGAGAAAGCUGCUCGCACUAUUGACCAGUCAGACGAAGACAUGUCCUUUCCUCCUGAAUUUCAAGAGGUUAUUCUUAUCUGGCACAUUGCCACAGACAUCUUCCUCUUGUGCAGCCCGAAGAUCAUCGGAGGAGUGCUCGAGGAACAUGUGAAGGGGAUCAAGGAGUUGUCAGAUUACAUGAUGUUCCUCGCCACUGCAAACCACAACAUGCUACCAGGCCGUAAGUUCCACACCAUGUACAAAACAACCCUCAGUUUGCUUAAGAUGCUGGCCAGGGAAUCUAGUUCCAGUGGUUAUACAGGGAAAGAGAAGCUUUCGAUGUGGAUGCUGGACCACAAGGAUCAUCUUAGAACCCUCGUAGUUAGUACUACUAAUCAUCUCGAGCGCACAGCUAGUAUUUGCAUCUUGGCAGGAACUCAACUUGCUGGGAAGCUGCUAAGUCCACGGCCCAAGUAUGGUGAAAGAAUGAUUAUGAAAGCAGAGGAACAUAUGUUGAAAGGACAUGCACACUGGAUUCCAGGUUUGGCGAAUGAACUUCCUGGGGGCACAGAAGGCAUGUUGGAGUUCAUCCUGGAUGUGUGGGUGCGUCUGCUCAUGUUUGCGUCCCUCCGGUGCAGCAGGGAUUCUCAUGCCAAGCAGCUCAGCUAUGGUGGCGAGCUCACGACCCUCGUAUGGAUCAUCACGGAACAUACAGAAAAGAGUGUCCUCAAAAAGCAUCUCAAGACACUUCUCCUUUGA